rnacentral:rRNA from 1 species
UACGUAGGCAGCGAGCGUUGUUCGGAGUUACUGGGCGUAAAGCGUGCGUAGGCGGUUGUCUAAGUCUGGUGUGAAAUCUCCCGGCUCAGCUGGGAGGGUGCGCCGGAAACUGGAUGACUGGAGUGCCGGAGAGGUAAGCGGAAUUCCUGGUGUAGCGGUGAAAUGCGUAGAGAUCAGGAAGAACACCCGUGGCGAAGGCGGCUCUCUGGAACGCAACUGACGCUGAGACGCGAAAGCGUGGGGAGCAAACAGG